ensembl:lncRNA
GCACAAUUCAGAAAUCCGGACAAAACUUUUAAGAACUGUUCAUUUUAUUUGACCCAUAAUGUUACAGUUAGAAAUUUCUUUGGAAGAAUUAAUCUGAAACGCACAUCGAGAUGAAGUAUAAAAAUACUUACUAUAGCAUUCUUAUAAUAAAAAACAGAAGGAUCACUGUAGAACACUAUUGAUUAAAUGAAUUAUAUUAAUCCCUUAAAGUUUAUAAGAAUAAUCUUGCAAAACAUUUCAUUACACAGGAAUAGACAAACAUUGCAUAAAUUGUGGAAAUAGUGAUUAUCAAUUAGAAUGUGAAGUAUAUUUAUGUGUAAAUAUUUCUGAACUGUACUUAUUAGUAUAUUCUAUAUCAUACCAACUAUGAGCCUUAUUAGAUAGUAGUUUUCAUAGACAGAUAGAUAGUAGUUUUCCUACAUAUAUGUAAAUGAAUAUAUAUAUACAUGCAAAGGUAAAAAUAUAAAGGCUGGGAACCACCACUUUGAAAAACUGUUUUAUAUUCUUAUAAAAUUAAUUCCACUUCUAGGUAAUUACCCAAGACACAUGAAAAUACACAUCCACAAAAAGACUUAUGCACCAAUGUUCAUAACAACUUUAUUUGUAAUAGCAAAAUUCUGGAAACAAACCAGAGUCCAUCAGCAGGUGAAUGGAUAAACAAAUUGUGCACACAUCCCUAUAAUAGGAUACUAUUCAACAAUGAAAAGAUUGGAUAUUUACACGUUACAACAUGGAUGAAUCUCAAAAUAAUUAUUCUGAGCAAAGAAGUCAGACACAAAAGAGCAUAUUCUAUAUGAUUUCCUUUAUAUGGAAAUGUAGAGGAUGCAGAUCAAUCAGUCCUGGCAUAAAGCAAGCUGACAGUUGUCUGGAAUCGGUCAGUGACGCAGGAGGACUGCUGGAAAGGAGCAUGGGGGAAUUUUCAUAGUGGUGGAAAUACUCCAUAUUCCGAUCAUUGUCUUUAAAUUUGUCAAAAUUCAUUGAAAUGUAAACACAGAAAAUGCUUACAGUUUAUGUCAAUUAUAUCUCAAUAAAAUUUAUUAAACUACAAAGGCUAAUUAAAAUACCUUCCAAAUAAACAGCAAAUAUAUAUUUAAGAACACAUUUUACUACGUCUUGAAAAUGUUUUCCAUGUUUGCCAUAAGAAAUACUGUGGUAGUUGCAACUCGAUAAGAUGGAAUGAACACCACCUGCAUUAUCUUUCACCUAUUCCAUCUACAGAUUUCUUUGACAUCCAACGGAAUCUAACCCACAAGUUGGCAAGUGAGUUAAGAAUCAUCAGUAACUUCUCAGAGAUGGACAAUGCCUAUAAUAGAUGAAAUCUUAUUUAACAGGUUAAAAAAUUGGUUAAAUAACUCGUUGAGAAAUUUUAAGAGAACAGAUUUGGGAAAGAACAAGUCUGUACUCAGUAACGCUUAUUUAAGAAACAAAAAAAAAGAAAUUUUUCCAAAUUUAAAAGAAAUAAGAGAGCAGCAGCACAGCAUUUUAAUGCACAUGAUGUAAGCCAUAUGUUCAUAUGAAUCAUUCUUACAUGGCGUCUUUGGAAUCUUCGUGACUUGAUGCUGCAGAAGGAGCCAUACGGCUGGUGAAAGUAUAUUUCAUCUGAGGCUCAAGUCACAGAUUUACAAUUAUCCAAUGAAAAAGAGGAACAAAAGUAAAACUCAAAAUAACAAUCAAGCCUACUGCAUGCCAUUUGCUUUAAUGGAGCAAAGAAUUAUUCACAAUACAAAAUAGGGGCCAGCCCAGUGGCGCAGCAAUUAAGUUCAUACGUUCCGCUUCUUGGCGGCCUAGGGUUCACCAGUUCGGAUCCGGGUGCGCACACGGCACUGCUUGGCACGCCACACUGUGGUAGGUGUCCCAUGUAUAAAGUAGAGGAAGAUGGGCAUGGAUGUUAGCUCAGGGCCAGUCUUCCUCAGCAAAAAGAGGAGGAUUGGUAGUAGUUAGUUCAGGGCUAAUCUUCC